rnacentral:rRNA from 1 species
UACAGAGGGGGCAAGCGUUGUUCGGAAUUACUGGGCGUAAAGGGCGCGUAGGCGGCCUGUUAAGUCGAACGUGAAAUCCCCGGGCUCAACUCGGGAACUGCGUCCGAUACUGACAGGCUUGAAUCCGGGAGAGGGAUGCGGAAUUCCAGGUGUAGCGGUGAAAUGCGUAGAUAUCUGGAGGAACACCGGUGGCGAAGGCGGCAUCCUGGACCGGCAUUGACGCUGAGGCGCGAAAGCGUGGGGAGCAAACAGG